rnacentral:tRNA from 1 species
GGCCUUGUAGUUCAAUGGAUAGAACGGAAGUUUCCUAAACUUUAAAUAGGGGUUCGAUUCCCCUCAGGGCUAC